UACAGAGGUCUCAAGCGUUGUUCGGAUUCAUUGGGCGUAAAGGGUGCGUAGGUGGCGCGCUAAGUCAGGUGUGAAAUUUCGGAGCUUAACUCCGAAACUGCAUUUGAUACUGGCGUGCUUGAGGACUGGAGAGGAUACUGGAAUUCACGGUGUAGCAGUGAAAUGCGUAGAGAUCAUGAGGAAGACCAGUGGCGAAGGCGGGUCUCUGGACAGUUCCUGACACUGAGGCACGAAGGCCAGGGGAGCAAACGGG
rnacentral:rRNA from 1 species